UAUGGGUGUCCACUCAGGAUCAGCCUGAAAUAGUCCUCUUAAAAUUAAUUUUUCUUCUCCAAGAAAAAUCAACCUGUGAAUCUGAACGAAGCCUGAAUCGCGAUCAACUCUUUGAUCCUUUUUUUGAUCUUCUUCUUCUUUUGCUUUUCUUCUCUUGAUUAUGCCACUAUCAUGGACUAGAAACCAGCACACAAGGGGACACCCAAAGCCUUGGGACAUGGAGGAAGAAGGGAUGCCCAAAGGGGUGGGGCAUUUGGACGUCCAAGGGAGAAGAGAGGGAGAGAGGAAGAGAGGGCGUGGGGCUCUCCUUG
rnacentral:lncRNA from 1 species